GUUGUCAUUAGCUUGGCUAAUAUAGCUUGGUUGCUUCAUCUAAGUGUUGCUUCUAAGUGUGUGGUUGAAGAUAUUCUGGAGAGUUUUACAGAAGCUUCAACUGUCUAAGAGUUGUGCUAAGAGUUUUCUUUUCUACUGUUACAGGUAAGAUUCAUCUGUAGGAAAAGGUUACUGAUUGCACAAUGUUUGAUUUCCUGUUGGUAAUUAUAGGGCAUUUGAUUUGAUUUGUUAGCUACUUGCUAUUGAUUGCUGUUUUAUUAGCUAUUGUUUGCAAAUAAGCAGAGGCCUACCCAGGUGUUAAACAUUCCUAGUGGGUGGUGAUUUUAG